AUGGAUGAAUCUGGAGAACAUCAUUCUCAGCAAACUGACACAAGAACAGAAAAUGAACACCGCAUAUUCUCACUCAUAGCUCCUGGCAACCACCAUUCUAUUAUUUGCUUCUGUGAAUUUGAAUAUUUCAGAUGCAUAAUGGACAUGGAUGAAUCUGGAAACCAUCAUUCUCAGCAAACUGACACAAGAACAGAAAAUCCAACAUCACAUGUUCUCACUCAUAGGCGGGUAUUGAAUAAUGAGAACACGUGGACAACAGGAGUGGAGCAUCACACACUGGGAUCUGUUGGGGGGGAAUAGGGGAGGGACAGCAGGGAGUAGG
rnacentral:lncRNA from 13 species